UACGGAGGGUGCAAGCGUUGUUCGGAAUCAUUGGGCGUAAAGCGCGUGUAGGCGGCUAUUUAAGUCUGAUGUGAAAGCCCGGGGCUUAACCCCGGAAGUGCAUUGGAUACUGAAUAGCUAGAGGGCGAGAGAGGAGAAUGGAAUUCCUGGUGUAGGGGUGAAAUCCGUAGAUAUCAGGAGGAACAUCAGAGGCGAAGGCGGUUCUCUGGCUCGUUUCUGACGCUGAGACGCGAAAGCGUGGGGAGCAAACAGG
rnacentral:rRNA from 1 species